UAGCAUAGUUGAGUCAGUCACAGAG
rnacentral:piRNA from 1 species